ACUCUCAUGGGGAGAGUUUAUGCGGAAACCCACCGCGUACCAGGCUAGAACCUGGCAACAAAUAAAAGGAGAAACAAAUG
rnacentral:ncRNA from 1 species